AUUGAACGCUGGCGGCAUGCCUUACACAUGCAAGUCGAACGGUAACAGGUCUUCGGAUGCUGACGAGUGGCGAACGGGUGAGUAAUACAUCGGAACGUGCCUAGUAGUGGGGGAUAACUACACGAAAGAGUGGCUAAUACCGCAUGAGAUCUACGGAUGACAGCAGGGGAGCGCAAGACCUUGUGCUACUAGAGCGGCCGAUGGCAGAUUAGGUAGUUGGUGGGAUAAAAGCUUACCAAGCCGACGAUCUGUAGCUGGUCUGAGAGGACGAUCAGCCACACUGGGACUGAGACACGGCCCAGACUCCUACGGGAGGCAGCAGUGGGGAAUUUUGGACAAUGGGCGCAAGCCUGAUCCAGCAAUGCCGCGUGCAGGAUGAAGGCCUUCGGGUUGUAAACUGCUUUUGUACGGAACGAAAAGCCCUGGGUUAAUACCCUGGGGUCAUGACGGUACCGUAAGAAUAAGCACCGGCUAACUACGUGCCAGCCGCCGCCGUAAAAC
rnacentral:rRNA from 1 species